AAUCUGCUUAUCUGGGAUUGCUGUGUGUCAGAAAACAGAAAACAUGAAAGGAUAGUUUCACUGUUAACAAAACCUGCAGAUAACUGCACUGAGAUCAGAAGUGCUACAAUCAAGAAUGCCAGGCUAACUGACAGAAAGCUAUGUAACCUGGAUUAAUACAUCACAUGCAAUUGCCUCCUUGCUCUUUUGCUGGAAACUUAAAUAUAACAUAGCUAUUUUAAUGUGGUUUGCCUUGCAUGAAA